rnacentral:rRNA from 2 species
AAGGAGUUUUCGGACAACGGAAGGGGAUGCUUAGUGGCGGACUGGUGAGUAACGCGUGAGGAACCUGCCUUUCAGAGGGGGACAACAGUUGGAAACGACUGCUAAUACCGCAUAAUGUAUUGUGGCGGCAUCGUCAUGACACCAAAGGGUCCGUAAGGAUUCCGCUGAGAGAUGGUCUCGCGUCUGAUUAGAUAGUUGGCGGGGUAACGGCCCACCAAGUCGACGAUCAGUAGCCGGACUGAGAGGUUGGCCGGCCACAUUGGGACUGAGAUACGGCCCAGACUCCUACGGGAGGCAGCAGUGGGGAAUAUUGGGCAAUGGACGCAAGUCUGACCCAGCAACGCCGCGUGAAGGAAGAAGGCUUUCGGGUUGUAAACUUCUUUUAAGGGGGAAGAGGAGAAGACGGUACCCCUUGAAU